CAUCGCCGCGGUAAUACGUAGGGUGCAAGCGUUAAUCGGAAUUACUGGGCGUAAAGCGUGCGCAGGCGGUUUUGUAAGACAGAGGUGAAAUCCCCGGGCUCAACCUGGGAACUGCCUUUGUGACUGCAAGGCUAGAGUACGGCAGAGGGGGAUGGAAUUCCGCGUGUAGCAGUGAAAUGCGUAGAUAUGCGGAGGAACACCGAUGGCGAAGGCAAUCCCCUGGGCCUGUACUGACGCUCAUGCACGAAAGCGUGGGGAGCAAACAGGAUUAGAUACCCCUGUAGUCCCUGUCUCUUAUACC
rnacentral:rRNA from 1 species